rnacentral:rRNA from 1 species
GCUAUACNUGCANUGGGACGCAAGGGAACACACUGUGCUUGCACACCGUGUUUUCUUGAGUCGCGAACGGGUGAGUAACGCGUAGGUAACCUGCCUAUUAGCGGGGGAUAACUAUUGGAAACGAUAGCUAAUACCGCAUAAUAUUAAUUAUUGCAUGAUAAUUGAUUGAAAGAUGCAAGCGCAUCACUAGUAGAUGGACCUGCGUUGUAUUAGCUAGUUGGUAAGGUAAGAGCUUACCAAGGCGACGAUACAUAGCCGACCUGAGAGGGUGAUCGGCCACACUGGGACUGAGACACGGCCCAGACUCCUACGGGAGGCAGCAGUAGGGAAUCUUCGGCAAUGGACGAAAGUCUGACCGAGCAACGCCGCGUGAGUGAAGAAGGUUUUCGGAUCGUAAAGCUCUGUUGUAAGUCAAGAACGUGUGUGAGAGUGGAAAGUUCACACAGUGACGGUAGCUUACCAGAAAGGGACGGCUAACUACGUGCCAGC